GCCGGAUUGCAGCCAUGAAACAGUUGCCAGAUCGUUUCGCUUCAUGUAUUAUGCUUGUCGUAGUAAGAAGUUGAUGAUGUAAAAGACAGUAUCUGGUGUAUGGAUUGCACAUAUACGUACUGAUAAACUUAAAAGUCAUUCUAUUGCACAGAAUGUGAAUGAUAGUUAUUUUUUUUAGAAUCGAGACAAGUACAAUGCACAUAUAUGUAGGGAAUUGUGUGGCUUUGACCAAAUCUUUUCGAAGUGCAUGGACCUAUUACGAUUGGUGCACAUGUUUGAAGAAAUGUCAAAGGAAGAACUAAUGACUGAAAUCUGACCCUGUCACUGACUCUGGUGCUGGCAUCAAUUUUUCUGUAAUAAGUCAAAUAUGGAUGACUCAGGUCAAGAAGAUCAACAGGCCCGUCAGAGCUUCAUGGUCAAGUCAGUGUCAGGAGAGUUUGAAAGUAAUGACCACGUAGAAGAGACAGAGAUGACCACUCCCCUGACUUUAUUCACUGAUGACAUCACACCAGUAGGAGAUCGGGAUCAUUCCCUUGACCACCUGGCAUUCCUUCCCCGUGGUGACCAGAGGACAUCAUGUCAUGCUAUGAUUGGAGAGCAGUAUCGACGCAUUGUCCAGUGGUGGCGAGGAAACUGGCAUUGUCCUAAGAGAGUUACCUCCCUUUACCAAACGCUGUUUCCAUUUGGAUGCAAAGAUGAGAUGAAAGAACAAGUCAAAAUUGCCUGGCC